AGGAAGUCAGAGAAUUAGAAAUGAGAAUAACAAAGUUCAUAAAAUAGGACAAUACAAUCCGAAUUUACAAAUGGAAUGAUUGUCCAAAAGCAAAGGUAGGGAUUAGAGGUACAAAAAAAUGGAAUUAUUGUUAGGAAUUGGGGAAAAGCCAGGAAAUAAGUUCUAGAGGGGAAAAUAAUAAUAAUAAUAAUAAUAAUAAUAAUAAUAAUAAUAAUGAAGAAAACAAACUAAAAAAGGAUAGUUCUUGCAAGCCUGAGCAGAAUUAUGUGAAAAUUUCUGAACCCUGCAGAGAUGCCUUGGAUAAGGCACCUUGUUGUAAUCUUCCAGACUAGCCCUGAAAUUAAACAGACAAAUGCUCUGAAGGUGUUGCUUGGACUUACAGAAAACAAAUUGCCAGACAUUUACAAUAUAUCUAUGCAUUCUUGUUGCCACAUUUUUUCAGAAAAAGAAAUUAUAUGAACAGAUUCUGUGCAUGGAUUUAAGUUAUUAUCAAUAUAAAGAAUACAGUAGUAUUCAUAUGUAAAAACUUGUUAUUACAUCAGAACUUGACACAAGUUUCUCAUUGCUUUGUCUUUGUUUUCAUGGAAGACAGAUGAGUAAUAAAAUCAAGUCUUUCAUUUACCUAUAGGUAACUCACGGAUGUUUGUCAAUGCAGGUUUAUCAAUAUACAGUCUGCACGGGUUUAAUACAUGACAAGGAGACAAGCAAUCUGUGGAGAAUGGCAGUGGAUGUGAUGCAGAUCAGCAAGAAAGAGAAAUUAAGGAUGAAAAGACAGCAGUUUCUGAAGAAUCAGCACACUUUGUAUUUAUAUAACGUACUUCCUCCCCCUGGUGACCUGGAGAUGAAUGAAUCUGGCCUAGAAGAUGGCAGAGGCCAUAUGAGGACAGCUGUAUUCACAAUCCCCACCUUCUGCCCAAGCAGUCUAUGGAGGUACUUAUCUCUAAAAACUUCAAAUAUAAUGACAUUAAAGAAGAUGCCCGUUUGAAAAUCUAGCCUUAGAAGAACAGCACAAAAGCUGUCAAUUUAUUCAGGAAUUCCUAACUUUUUUCUUAAAAAACACUUUCUAAGCAGAGAUGUGUUUCUUAAAGACUGUAAGAUGAAGACACAAUCAGAGAAGAAUUCUGAAAAGUGUCAGUAAGUCAAUCCAAUAUACAUCACUGUGAACCUGCAAUACAGACAAAAUUUUAAAAUUAACAAAAGGCCUGAACUGCAGCUGGGUAUAUUCAUGUAGGUCCCAAUCAUCAGCAUUUUGCAAGUGACAGAAGUAAAAAUGUCAGUGGAGACUUUAAGCUAAUCUCUACAGCAAAGAUUGUGAGAGAGAUCUAAAUAUUACUUAAAUAAGGCUUUUUCUUUUACAGGAAUGAAAGACAAAAUGAAACAUAAUUCAACAUAUAUCUUGCAAACUCCUACUCAUCUGUGAAAUAUUAAGCAUCAUCAUUUUUUUAAAUAAUAAUACAAAAAUCUUGUCACUUCAGUGCACAGGAAAGAUGAUGUUCUGAGGAUGAAAACCAGCUGUGUAUAGAAUGACCUUGAUGUUUGUAAAACCAUUUCCCUUUGUUAUAGAUCUUGAAAUAAAGUAGAGGUCUUAUGCUAAAGAAAGUAGAGC
ensembl:lncRNA